rnacentral:rRNA from 1 species
CAGCCGCCGCGGUAAUACGGAGGUGGCAAGCGUUAUCCGGAAUUAUUGGGCGUAAAGCGUCUGUAGGCGAUCUGGCAAGUUUUCUGUGAAAUUCCAAUGCUCAACAUUGGAGCUGCAGAAAAUACUGCCAGAAUUGAGGAAGAUAGAGGCAAGUGGAAUUCCCGGUGUAGUAGUGAAAUGCGUUAAUAUCGGGAGGAACACCAAUAGCGAAGGCAGCUUGCUGGAUCUUUCCUGACGCUCAGAGACGAAAGCGUGGGUAGCGAAUGGGAUUAGAUACCCCAGUAGUCCACGCCGUAAACGAUGGAUAUUAGGCAUAGGGAGGGUCGACCCUUUCUGUGCCGAAGCUAACGCGAUAAAUAUCCCGCCUGGGGAGUACGGUCGCAAGACUAAAACUCAAAGGAAUUGACGGGGACCCGCACAAGCGGUGGAGCAUGUGGUUUAAUUCGACAAUAAGCGAAGAACCUUACCAGGGCUUGACAUCUAGGAAUCCUUCCGAAAGGAAGGAGUGCCUUCGGGAAUCUAGAAUCAGGUGCUGCAUGGCUGUCGUCAGUUCGUGGCGUGAGCUGUACGGUUAAGUCCGGAAACGAGCGCAACCCUUACUCUGUGUUAUAUUUCUCACAGAGGACCGCCGGCGUAUAGUCGGAGGAAGGUGGGGAUGACGUCAAGUCAGCAUGGCCCUUUGAUGCCCUGGGCUACACACGUGCUACAAUGGCUAGUACAAAGAGACGCUAAGUCGUAAGAUGGAGCAAAUCUCAUCAAAGCUAGUCUCAGUUCGGAUUGAGGUCUGGAAUUCGACCUUAUGAAGAUGGAAUCGCUAGUAACUGUGGGUCAGCCACACCACAGUGAAUACGUUCUCGGGUCUUGUACACACCGCAAGUCACGACAUAGCGAGUAAGACCACCCGAAGUCUACGGAGCAACCUUUAGGAGGGCGUGGUCUAAGGUGGUCGUACUAACUGGGUCGAAGUCGUAACAAGGUAGCCGUA